GCUGGGUAUUUCGUCUUUUUCAUACAAUUUCUCGGCUCAUAAUUUAUGACAUGCUUUGAAAUUUUCCACAAUAUAGCAUGAAUAUGUCCUUUAAACACUGGCACAAUUGGUGGUUUGUAAUCCGCUUAUUUAAUUCAAAUUAUUCCCCUUGAAAGACACUGUUUCGUUUGAGCAGUUCACAGGAAGCGCAACCUGUCUCGUAGUGUUCAUUUUCAAUGGUUAUUAAACGCUGUAAAUCAAAAUGAUAUCUUGUACUAAUGGAUGUCUUCAAUCGAAGAAGGUUCGGAAAUGAUAUUUCCACAUGCUUAAAAUAGGUUGGGAAGUUAUUUUUCAAGACCCCGAGGAAGUGUGAGGUGUAUGGAAUCAGCUGUGAAGGAUCUGGAAAGCAGGUGUUUUACCUCGCAGACGAAGCCAGUCACAUGGUAAAGGUGCAAAUGCUGUGGUCAGCCAGGUUCACCACUACCUCAACACAUACGGUCUUGGCGAACAGCAUGCACACUUUUGAAAGUGUGACAACUGUUGCGGCCAAAGUAAAAACAACAUAGUCAUCGGGUACCUUCUGUGAAGAGUUCUUGUAGAUAAUAACAAGCCCUUAGUUAUUGUGUUUCUGAUAGCUUUUUUUAAUGUUGAGAAAUUAAUUUAGCUAAACCUGUUGUUAAAAAUAUUUGUUUGCAGUAAUGCAAUUGCAAAAUGGUAAAUCAUGUUGAUAUGUAGUAAAUAUGUUUAAAAAAAAUACUCUGAUAUCAAUCCCAAAAAGAAAAUUCUCUUAAAAUAAUAUAUUGAAAUGAGUCAACAUUUUUAAGUCAGUCAAUUACUACAAAAUACAUAUUCCAAAUUGUAGCCUGACCUUUUUUAAUAAUUAUUUUUUAACAUUUCAGGUUUGCACAAAAUCAUCACACUAAGCUUUAUGUUUAUAAGACAUACAAAGUUUACACCAGAUUGGCACUUUGGCAUCUGGAAGUCAAAGUGGAGAUACUUCAAUGCAGAAAUGCUGUCUGGUGUGACUGCAUCUUUGGGGUUAUCGUCAAGGACGGGCCAUAACAUCCCCCAGCUUGUGGGGGACUCUCCCAAUCCUGUUGUUAUCUAAGACAGGAAGGAUUACCUUACAACAUUGUUUCACCACAUAAAGAAUGUCACCAAAUUUCAUCAAUUUCCAUGUGUCAGCGGAGCAUCCCGGUGUUGUGGAAUGCAGGGAAUUUAGUGACUCACCAGUAGUCAGAAUCACUCUCAGGAAGGUCUCGAAAGUGAAUGUUAAUGUGAGCUGUGACAACCUGCCAUAAGAAAUGUUUGCGAAAGGGCUUGAUCUGGACCAUUAGUGGUAUUUAUUUGAAAACAUUCGUGAAUUCUGUCGCAUAGAUGAACCAAAAACUUGACAUGUCCGAAACGCGCUACUGGUGAGCAACAAAAAACAGACUGUGCCCCCCAAAAAAGAAGAUGCAUUAAGAUGCGCAUCUGAUCUUCUCUGAUGGUACCACAACAAUUACAUACAUCAUGUAUCAGUGUUUAUUUUGGCCAAGGUAUUGGGUGAUAUAUUUUCCCCCAAACAAUGCAAAAAAUUCUCUAUUCCUAGGAAAGCUAAAACAUGUAUACGAUUGCUAAAUGUGUCAGUUGAUACAGGUUUUGAAAUGUUCAAUGCAAACGUUUGUUGUUCUAAUUGCACAAACUUGUUUUCAAGUUAUUUAUAUCUCAUAUUGACAAAACAAAAAUCAUUUUUCCAUGUAAACAUGCAAUUGUUUUCACCUUAUGGACACAGACUGCCUUUCGGAAAAACUGGGGAAAAAAUCAGUGUGAAUAUUGUAUUUAUUUAUGUUUUACAAUGAAAAUCCUAUAUUUUUGUUUGUUUGCUACAUUGUUUCCAUAGUAACAAAAACAAACAAUUUUUAUGUUUGAGUUAUUGAUUAUUUUGUCUAUUUUUCUCUAUCAGAAAUAAUGAUAAAUAAUGAUUAUUUCAUUUACUGAAACAUUUAGUAUUCAAGUGUACUUUCAACCAACACUUUUCAAUGCUGUGUUUUUCCAUUUUGUUGUGUUUGAGGUUAUAUUAUACUUAAAUACACAUGUAACGGAAUAAAAAAAGGAAAUUGUUCAUGGAACACACAAAUUAUUGAUUGUAAUUGUUUAACUAGUUACAAAACAGUGAAAUUAAUGGUGUGUUUGCCUUUAAACAAACACUUGAUUGAAAAUACAAUUCAUAGAUUUAUAAAAGGCGUGAUUGUGUGCUCUGGUGAUUAUUAACAUGUAGAUCGGUUACCAUAGCAACACAAAUGGUACAUUGUAAAUGCCCAUAAUGCUGUUGUCAGUUUAUUGCACUAUAAUUAUGUAUUUGACUAAAGGAAAGAUUAUUGUUUUAAUAAAACAAUGACUUGUUGUUUGAAUGUUUUCGUUGUUUUUUGUAUUAAAUGAUAACUUUAAGUGACGGUAAA